rnacentral:rRNA from 1 species
CACGUAGGGCGCAAGCGUUGUCCGGAAUUAUUGGGCGUAAAGAGCUCGUAGGCGGUCUGUUGCGUCCGCUGUGAAAACCCGGGGCUUAACCCUGGGCUGGCAGUGGAUACGGACAGACUAGAGGUAGGUAGGGGAGAAUGGAAUUCCCGGUGUAGCGGUGAAAUGCGCAGAUAUCAGGAGGAACACCGGUGGCGAAGGCGGGUCUCUGGGCCGAAACUGACGCUGAGGAGCGAAAGCGUGGGGAGCGAACAGG